rnacentral:rRNA from 1 species
AAUGAGGGUUUUAAUGGCCGCAGUAUUUUGACUGUGCAAAGGUAGCAUAAUCAUUAGUUUCUUAAUUAGGAGCUAGAAUGAAUGGUUUGAUGAGAAAUUAACUGUCUCUUACUAAUUUUAUUAUAAUUUGAAUUUUAAGUGAGAAUGCUUAAAUUUUUUAGAAAGACGAGAAGACCCUAUAGAGUUUGAUUAUUAUUUUAAUUGAAAUUUAUUUAGGGUUGGUAUUUGUUUGGUUGAGCUGAUAAUUUUGUUGGGGUGACAAAAAAAUUUAUUUAACUUUUUAAUUUUUUUACACUAAUUAGUGAUUAGUUGAUCCUGUAGGUAUGGAUUAUAAGAUUGAAUUACCUUAGGGAUAACAGCGUAAUUUUUUUUGAAAGUUCAUAUUUAUAAAAAAGUUUGCGACCUCGAUGUUGGAUUAAAAUUAAUUUUCGGUGUAGCUGCUGAAAUGAUUA